AGAGUUUGAUCAUGGCUCAGGAUGAACGCUAGCGGCAGGCCUAAUACAUGCAAGUCGAACGCUCAGUAGCAAUACUGGGAGUGGCGCACGGGUGCGUAACGCGUACACAAUCUACCUCUAAGCGGGGGACACCUCCUGGAAACGGGGAUUAAUACCGCAUAAUAUGCCGAGGUCGCAUGACUUUGGUAUUAAAGCAGCAAUGCACUUAGAGAUGAGUGUGCGUCCCAUUAGGUAGUUGGUGAGGUAACGGCUCACCAAGCCUAUGAUGGGUAGCCGGUCUGAGAGGAUGGUCGGCCACACGGGCACUGAGACACGGGCCCGACUCCUACGGGAGGCAGCGGUAAGGAAUAUUGGUCAAUGGUGGAAACACUGAACCAGCCAUGCCGCGUGGAGGAAUAAGGUCCUACGGAUUGUAAACUCCUUUUGACGAGGAAGAAAGUGUUAGAUUUAUCUAAUUUUGACGGUACUCGUAGAAUAAGCACCGGCUAACUCCGUG
rnacentral:rRNA from 1 species